rnacentral:rRNA from 1 species
CUUCUUUUUCCACCGGAGCUUGCUCCACCGGAAAAAGAAGAGUGGCGAACGGGUGAGUAACACGUGGGUAACCUGCCCAUCAGAAGGGGAUAACACUUGGAAACAGGUGCUAAUACCGUAUAACAAUCGAAACCGCAUGGUUUUGAUUUGAAAGGCGCUUUCGGGUGUCGCUGAUGGAUGGACCCGCGGUGCAUUAGCUAGUUGGUGAGGUAACGGCUCACCAAGGCCACGAUGCAUAGCCGACCUGAGAGGGUGAUCGGCCACAUUGGGACUGAGACACGGCCCAAACUCCUACGGGAGGCAGCAGUAGGGAAUCUUCGGCAAUGGACGAAAGUCUGACCGAGCAACGCCGCGUGAGUGAAGAAGGUUUUCGGAUCGUAAAACUCUCAUCCCUUGACGGUAUCUAACCAGAAAGCCACGGCUAACUACGUGCCAGCAGCCGCGGUAAUACGUAGGUGGCAAGCGUUGUCCGGAUUUAUUGGGCGUAAAGCGAGCGCAGGCGGUUUCUUAAGUCUGAUGUGAAAGCCCCCGGCUCAACCGGGGAGGGUCAUUGGAAACUGGGAGACUUGAGUGCAGAAGAGGAGAGUGGAAUUCCAUGUGUAGCGGUGAAAUGCGUAGAUAUAUGGAGGAACACCAGUGGCGAAGGCGGCUCUCUGGUCUGUAACUGACGCUGAGGCUCGAAAGCGUGGGGAGCAAACAGGAUUAGAUACCCUGGUAGUCCACGCCGUAAACGAUGAGUGCUAAGUGUUGGAGGGUUUCCGCCCUUCAGUGCUGCAGCUAACGCAUUAAGCACUCCGCCUGGGGAGUACGACCGCAAGGUUGAAACUCAAAGGAAUUGACGGGGGCCCGCACAAGCGGUGGAGCAUGUGGUUUAAUUCGAAGCAACGCGAAGAACCUUACCAGGUCUUGACAUCCUUUGACCACUCUAGAGAUAGAGCUUCCCCUUCGGGGGCAAAGUGACAGGUGGUGCAUGGUUGUCGUCAGCUCGUGUCGUGAGAUGUUGGGUUAAGUCCCGCAACGAGCGCAACCCUUAUUGUUAGUUGCCAUCAUUYAGUUGGGCACUCUAGCAAGACUGCCGGUGACAAACCGGAGGAAGGUGGGGAUGACGUCAAAUCAUCAUGCCCCUUAUGACCUGGGCUACACGGGGGCUACAAUGGGAAGUACAACGAGUCGCGAAGUCGCGAGGCUAAGCUAAUCUCUUAAAGCUUCUCUCAGUUCGGAUUGUAGGCUGCAACUCGCCUACAUGAAGCCGGAAUCGCUAGUAAUCGCGGAUCAGCACGCCGCGGUGAAUACGGGGGGGGGGGGUACACACCGCCCGUCACACCACGAGAGUUUGUAACACCCGAAGUCGGUGAGGUAACCUUUUGGAGCCAGCCGCCUAAGGUGGGAUGGGGGGGGGGGGGGGGGG